rnacentral:misc_RNA from 1 species
CCGACAGUCACUUGUUUCCCCGAGCUGCGCAGGAGAGGCUGCGCAGUGUCGAGUCCCGAAGAAGAAAACCCAAAAUGGCUUCCAGCGAGACCGCCACCGACGACUCUCUUUACCCGAUUGCCGUGCUUAUUGACGAACUACGAAACGAGGAUGUACAGUUACGGCUGAAUUCCAUCAAAAAGCUUUCCACAAUUGCUCUUGCACUGGGUGUGGAGCGAACUCGCAGUGAAUUGAUCCCCUUCUUGACUGACACAAUCUAUGAUGAAGAUGAAGUGUUGCUCGCACUUGCAGAACAGCUCGGCACUUUCACCCCACUGGUUGGAGGGCCAGAAUACGUACAUUGUCUCCUGCCCCCUCUGGAAUCCCUGGCUACAGUUGAAGAAACCGUUGUACGAGAUAAAGCUGUUGAUUCGCUUAGAAGGAUUUGUGAGGAACACAACACAGAAGAUUUGGAGUCACACUUUGUCCCUCUGGUGAAGCGACUGGCUGUUGGAGACUGGUUCACAUCACGCACAUCUGCCUGUGGACUUUUCUCAGUAUGUUAUCCAAGACUGUCUGUGGCAACAAAAGCUGAAUUGCGAUCACAUUUCCGUUCUCUGUGUCAAGAUGACACACCCAUGGUACGACGUGCUGCAGCAGCCAAAUUGGGUGAAUUCGCAAAGGUUGUAGAAGUGGAAUAUUUGAAGACAGACCUUAUCCCCAUGUUUGUUGCACUUGCCCAGGAUGAACAGAGUACCCCUCAACUCUGGCAGGAUUCAGUGCGGCUUUUGGCGGUGGAGGCAUGCGUAAGCAUGGCUGGGCUUCUACAGCAGGAGGACACUGAAAUGCUGGUGAUGCCAACACUUCGCCAGGCUGCAGAAGACAAGUCAUGGAGGGUUCGCUACAUGGUGGCAGACCGCUUCAUUGACCUCCAGAAGGCAGUGGGGCCUGAAAUCACCAAAACAGAUCUUGUGCCAGCAUUCCAAAGUCUGUUGAAGGAUGUUGAGGCUGAAGUACGUGCAGCAGCUGCUGGAAAAGUCAAAGAUUUCUGCCAGAAUGUGGAUCCAAGUGUGCAGGAAAAUGUUAUCAUGAACAAUGUUUUACCGUGUGUAAAGGAACUAGUAACAGAUGGUAACCAACAUGUAAAGAGUGCACUAGCGGGUGUUAUCAUGGGCCUGUCACCCAUCCUAGGGAAAGAGAACACAGUCAACCACCUUCUUCCGCUAUUCCUGUCACAGCUGAAGGAUGAAUGUCCAGAAGUCAGACUUAACAUUAUCUCUAAUCUCGACUGUGUCAAUGAAGUCAUUGGAAUUCAGCAGCUGUCACAAUCAUUGUUGCCAGCCAUUGUAGAGUUAGCGGAGGACACUAAGUGGCGUGUGCGCCUGGCCAUUAUUGAAUAUAUGCCCCUUCUUGCUGGUCAACUUGGGGUCGAAUUUUUCAACCAAUCCCUCUCCAAACUGUGCAUGACCUGGCUAGUGGAUCAUGUAUAUGCUAUCCGUGAGGCUGCUACUAACAACCUAAGAAAGCUUGUGGAGAAAUUUGGUUCCGAGUGGGCCUCCCAGAAUGUAUUGCCCAAGAUUAAUGCCAUGUCACGGGACGGCAACUACCUUCAUCGUAUGACCUGUCUUGCUUGUAUCAACGUUGUUGGUGAAGUGUGUGGAAAGGAUGUGACGACCAAGACUCUGUUGCCCACAGUCCUCUCUAUGGCAAAUGAUAACGUUCCGAAUGUCCGGUUUAAUGUGGCAAAAACUCUACAGAUUAUUGGUCCCCAUGUGGAAAAAGAUGCCCUCCACUCACAAGUUAAACCCGUAUUGGACAGACUCAAUGAUGAUGCAGAUACAGAUGUUAAAUAUUUUGCAUCAGAGGCUCUAACAGAAAAUGGUCUAAUAUAAAUGGCCUUAUUUUUUCUAGCCAUUGGCUGAGAAAAAAAGGUGCUGCUGUUAUAGUCUUCUGCCAUGACACCAUUGUUUGCGGCAUCGUAGGCAGACCGUAGCAUCCGUAGCAUGCACAAGUCAGCAUCCGUAAGCCAGAUCCAGGAGAUUUUUAGCCAUCACCAAAAUUUUUCUUAUUAUCAAAGGAAAAGACCAUUUGAUGAACCCAUAUCUUUCUCUCUCUCUCUCUCUCUCUCUCUCUCUCCCCCCCCCUCCCCCCCUUCCAUCCCUCGAUUCCUCCUUCCCCUUCAUCCCCCCAUUCCCCCUCCCCACGCUUCUUCACUUUCACUAUUUCUCUCAGCCUCUUGUGUCCUGAUCUAUCUUCUAGGUGGUGCUAUAUAACCACUACUUUAGUCUUUUAUUCUUCAAUUCCCAAUGUAGCAAGAAUUAUUUAUUGAAAUACAAUGCUCUUCUCACAAUGGUAAUUUUCCUUCUUCUUUUUUCUUUUUUUUUUUUUUUUCUUUAUUUUUUCUUUUUUUUUCUGUCAAAGUACCCAAUUUGGGAUGUAUCUACUCGUAUUGUGUAAUUUUGAUUUGACAUGAUUGAUAUCUGCAGUGAGGAAAAGCAGAGGAGUUAGGAGUAAAGAUGAUAUUGGUCAUUAUUUAAUUUUCUUGUAACAAUGAUAUGAAAAGAUAGCUAACCAAGCAUUAGUUUCUUAAUAAUUUUCUUACCACGAUCAUCAGUAUCAUUGGUUUUUGUGCAUUUUUUCUUCCCUUUCUUUCGAAAUUCAGGCACUCAGUCUUAAAAGCAGUGGACCAUGUUGCUUUCUUAGUUUUUUACAUUUCCGUUAAUGGUGCAGAAGUGGAGGACUGUAGCAGCGUCUCUUUAAAAUACUUGUGAACUUCGUACAUUCUACCUUAAGAGUAUGAGUGAUUUUAAGUCGUUACAUAGUCACUAUUAUUUCGUAACCAGUCCCAAUCAUAAGCAGGAAUCAUUGUUAGUGUAAUAUUAUAAGUAAAAAAAAAAAAAGGAGCUCUAUCGGUCGUGAACGCCAUGUACAUGUUGUAUAGAUAAAUUAUAUAAAUACAUUAAUGUGUGUUGGUCAGUUCUGACUUGUGUCACAUGACAGAAUUAUACUAAAAAGGAAAAGGAAAUGAGAAAUAAAAAGGAAAACUAACCUGAGUAUUUGUGGAUAUACCAAUAUUUCUUGGGAGUAUAUGUAAAGGAAUUGCUUUUGUAUUAUUCAGUUACUUCACAUACAACACAGGCUGCCCUUGCUUAGGAAGGUUGCUGCUAUCGAAAGAUCACUCCUCCGUACUUGUUAAAAUAAUACUCUGCAUUACCUCCCCCUUCCCCUCCUCAAAGUACUAGGCCGUAAUAUAUAUUUUAAAAUGAGUAUGUUGUUGAGCAUAGACCCUUACCAUCGCUGCUCCACCUAGAUAGGUUACCUUAUAUGUGUCAAGGAAUAUUAUUUUAUGAUUUUAUAUUUAUAUAAGUUUGCAGAAAUGAGAAUAAAAUGAACGAGCUUUUUUUUUAUAUAACUUUAUCAUUAAUGUGAUCAGCUCCAAUGCUAAUGUAUUCUAUAACUUUUCUGUACAAAUAAAUAUUCCACAGUGGA